GAUGCCUUUGGUGGACUGUCUGAAUCAGUUCAAACAGCUGGAGGUUGGCCAUAUCUUUCUGUUACAAAACAUUAGAAUCUAUCAGUUGAGAUUGCAUCUAACAGGCACAGCUAGUACCCUGAGAUCCUUCUGUGGCCCAGGUCUAUGGAAAAGAAGAAAAUGAAGCCUGACUGGAAAAAAACGUAUAAAAUCCAAAAACUGGUAGCUGCGCAUACAAUUUGGAGCCAAUACCUCAAGCCCCAGAGGACAACUUAAUGGAUCAUACCAGGCUGACUUCUCAACUUACAUUCUGGUUCUAACCCACCACUUGGCCAAUUCUCCCCAGGCACAUCAAUACCACAUCCAAGGUUGGUGGUAUAAAAUAAAAUGUAGGCCAGAAUGGACACAGGUGAGGGGACUUUGUUGGGUUUUAUGUCAGAUAAUAAAACAACAUUAAGUUUUUCA